rnacentral:lncRNA from 1 species
GUUACCGUAUAGUUUAAUGGCUGUGCAUGGAGGGCUCGAAGUCAGACUUCUCAGAUUUGAUUUGUUUCCUUUAUUUCAAGUCGUAUGUCCAAGGGAGAGCUGUGUAUGAGCCAAGACCUGAUGUCAUUGAGGAAGGCUCACUGACAAGAACAAAAGGUCCUGCAGAGAGAGAAGACCACGAGAAGCAAAAAGCAGCAAGAUGACUGGAAAGAUUCAGGAAUUGGGAGCAGUGAAUAACUCAAAGUGCAGUGGAGGUUGGUGCUGAACAUCAGCAUUAGCUGACAAUUUGUAAAAGAAGCAGUUCCUGGCCAGGU